rnacentral:rRNA from 1 species
AGAACGAACGCUGGCGGCAGGCUUAACACAUGCAAGUCGAACGGUUGUAGCAAUACAGCAGUGGCAGACGGGUGAGUAACACGUGGGAACCUUCCUAGGGGUACGGAACAACUCAGGGAAACUUGAGCUAAUACCGUAUACGUCCGUGAGGAGAAAGAUUUAUCGCCCCUAGACGGGCCCGCGUAGGAUUAGGUAGUUGGUGAGGUAACGGCUCACCAAGCCUACGAUCCUUAGCUGAUCUGAGAGGAUGAUCAGCCACACUGGGACUGAGACACGGCCCAGACUCCUACGGGAGGCAGCAGUGGGGAAUCUUGGACAAUGGGCGCAAGCCUGAUCCAGCCAUGCCGCGUGAGUGAAGAAGGCCUUCGGUUGUAAAGCUCUUUUACCAGGGACGAUAAUGACGGUACCUGGAGAAUAAGCCCCGGCAAACGUUCGUGCCAGCAGCCGC